UCUUCGGAUCCCUUUCAUAUCCAAGGAACUUAAUGUACCUGAGAAAGAUGUGGAGGAGCUGUUGGUCUCGCUAAUAUUGGAUAAUCGUAUACAAGGACACAUUGAUCAGGUGAACCGGCUCCUAGAACGUGGUAACAGGUCAAAGGGGAUGAAGAAAUACACUGCCGUUGAUAAGUGGAACACACAGCUUAGGUCCCUCUAUCAAACUGUUAGUAACCGAGUGUGUUAAUUUUUGGGAUUUUUUGAGAGUAUAUUAUAUUUGAAAAUUCACUCCUAGUCCUGGAAAACAAUAGAUUACAAGCAUUACAUUUACUUUUGCACCGAAGAUGUCCAUGGGUAGUGGAGAAGUGUCCAUUUACAGAGAUGUUGGCUCAAAUCUAGUUUAAAUGUUUUUGACAAAUUUGCUUA